rnacentral:rRNA from 1 species
AACGAACGCUGGCGGCAGGCCUAACACAUGCAAGUCGAGCGAAGCCUUCGGGCUUAGCGGCGGACGGGUGAGUAACGCGUGGGAACGUGCCCUUUGCUACGGAAUAGCCCCGGGAAACUGGGAGUAAUACCGUAUGUGCCCUUCGGGGGAAAGAUUUAUCGGCAAAGGAUCGGCCCGCGUUGGAUUAGGUAGUUGGUGGGGUAAUGGCCUACCAAGCCGACGAUCCAUAGCUGGUUUGAGAGGAUGAUCAGCCACACUGGGACUGGGACACGGCCCAGGCGCCUGCGGGAGGCAGCAGUGGGGAAGCUUAGACAAUGGGCGCAAGCCUGAUCUAGCCAUGCCGCGUGAUCGAUGAAGGCCUUAGGGUUGUAAAGAUCUUUCAGGUGGGAAGAUAAUGACUGUACCACCAGAAGAAGCCCCGGCUAACUCCGUGCCAGCCGCCGCCGUAACAC